UCACUGCUCUAGAGCAUUUUAUUGUCCAUCCUCAGUCUUUUCUUCAGACCCUAGCUUAUGCUGAGCAUUAACCUUCAGGACACCCUUCCUGCAGUUCUGGGCCACCCCUAUAUUUAGUCUUAGUUAUGUCACCUCUCACCUUCUUCUUUCUAAAACUCUAAGCUUAUCAAAAAGCAAUGUGUUCAAUCACAUUGCCAAACCGGUUACGCCUGCAUGUUGUGUUUUGACCCAAUUUGUAAGUUUCUGUCAGCAGGGGAGUUUAUUGCAUGGAAAGAUGCUCAUUACAUACUGUGAAGUUAAUAAAGCAGUUUUAAAAAGCAAA